rnacentral:hammerhead_ribozyme from 1 species
GUACUGCUGAGGAGUCCCACAAUUGGACGAAACGGCCGUCCACUGC